CUAUCCUGACUGCCGCGGGGAAGGGCCUCGCCUCUUCCCGCCUGAGCUGGCUGCACACAGGCCUAGAUCGGGGGGUCCUCGGGGCCGCCCCCGCCCACUUCCGCAGCCUGCACCCCGAGCCCUCCCCGCGCUCCUCCUCAAUUCGGAUGAUGUACAGUGGGGACUCGGGGGUGGCGCGCUGGAGCCGAGGAUUUAAUCGGGGAACUUUCCCGCGACCCCCCCAGACUCCGGCCGACUGCAGGACGAGGGUGGAGACGGAGAUCCCUCUGACGACCUCCGGCUCUCGGCUCCCGCUGCCCGCCGGGAGUGCCUGUUGAGGGCCUGCGGAGCUUCCCGCUUUGGCGGCAGAAGACAAGCGACCACGGUGCUCCGGGGAGGAGGAUCCUCACCCGGAUCUGCGCAGAGGACGUGAUCGUCGGGGCAUCCCUGCGUCUCCGCCUGGGGUGGGGUCUGGGCGGGGAGCUUAGCUUUUCUUCUUCGAGCUACUAUCGCGGUCCCACCCCCUCCCCAACCCCUGCUGCAUAAUUCACUGAGGCGUUUAACCUCUGAGCUUUCUCUGUUAACCAGCUUCGGGCCCGCGGGUCAAAGCAGACAGCCCAGCGCACGCUUGGUAGCUGCCCAGAUGAGAGGAGAGGCGCCCACGUGGCCCAUUCCUCUUCCCUUGGUCACUCCGAAAGUCCCUGUGGGUCCCAGGCACUUACAGGCACAUAAACUCCGAAGGAGGCCCCUUGACCAACUGGUUCUCACUAAGGAGUGAGUGACUGUCAGGGCUUGAAGCUACUGCUCGCUGCCUUGGAUAUGAAUUAGGUCCUGGUAACAGGCAGAAUUGCGAGGGGCAGGAAGCUGCUGCCUUUCCUUGACCACCUUGCUGGAAACGGUUAUGUCCCCGUAAGGACUCAGGAGAUGUCUGUCGCCUCAGCCGGCUCACCGAGUCACGGAGUAAACUGAGGAAGGGCUCUUCAGUGGACCACUUCGAGUGAAAGUUCUCCUAGCAGAAUUGCUAUAAAAAUGUGGUCAAGGACAAGGGGUCCACACUCACCCCUGUCAGAGGUGUCUUGUCUGCCCAACACUUUGUCCAGGGCAUCAAGAACCUGGAGAGAAGCCCCAUGGGACCCUCCAUCUGCUAACAGUACGGCCGGGAUCUCUGCUGCAGAGAGUGAACCGCACAUACAAAGUGAUCCUGGGAAAGCCUCAGUGUUUCCAUCUGUAAAGUGGGGACCUAGGCAAACACCCUGGAGAACCCUUUAUUCUUGGAUGAAAGCAAAAAAGGACCCAAGGUUGUGCUCAUCAGGCAGCUGAGGAGGCUUCUCAUCUUUAACAUGAGGACUGCCUGCUGUGUGCUAGGCUUGGCGCUGUGAUGAGACCUUGAGACACCCAGCUCACUGAGACCUCCAGACAACUCUGUAACAUAAGGAGCUGAGUAAGCCCAUUUUACAGACAGGAAAUGCCAAGUCACCCAACAAAUGAAAUGGGGAAAGAUGUGGAUGCAGACAGACCCCAAGAUGCAUGACUGCCACCGGCACCAGAAGCCAGUAAGAGGCAAGGACCGGGCCACCCAGGGCCUCAGAGAGGCGGCCCCAACCACAGCUCCUUUUAAGAGGCAACUGUCCCCUCUUUCCAAGCUGCUGGUGGCUCACUGCUGGGACAGCCCUGCCUGACCACCCACCCUGUCUCCCACACCGCACUUGGCCCACAUUCCAAGCACAUCUGGAAGUAUGGGGCUCCAAGACCCAGGAGCGCUUAGCUACCCCCUCUUCUCGGGCUGCUGUUAAUAGCUUUGUCCUGGGACUUCAGUUUCCCUGGCUGUGAAGUGGGAACAAGACACCAAGAUGUUCAAGUUCUCGUACAUCAAGGUCUUAAUAGCCCUGUGCGGCUUACAAAGCCGAGUCAAGGAACCGUGCGGACCGUGCGUGUGUGCGCAUGCGCAUGUCCAUUCGGUUUAAUGACAUCUCUUCUUUCAGAGUGAGGUUGAUUCACUCACUCCAAUUAGUGUUCGCAUCUUGCCUAACUCAUUUAAUGAGAACAGCUCGUUCUUGAGCCAGUCUGUGAACUGACCCUCAGGACCUUUCCACCAAAAACAGAAAAGCAAAAACCACCCUUCAUGUAUCGUGUCCCUGUGGUAACGAGCUCCGGAUAGCGACCAGCCUGCCUUCCACUCCCACUUUAGCUCGUUUUUUUUCCAGCGCCGACCUCUGGUGCCACAGGAGAUGGCAGAGCUUGAAGAACACCGGGAAUCAGAGCUCCUAGGAGGAAGCACCGGAGGGGAUCCGACCAGAUCAAGAGGGAUCUGCCCGCGAGGAAAGCGGCUCCAUUGGGCCCGGCCACCUCUCCUCGAAGCUUCUCUUUUUCCUGGUUUUUUUUUUUGUUUGUUUUUGUUUUUUUUUUUUUCUGCAUUUUGGCUGCUGCUCCUCUGGUUCCUUGCUUUUUAUUCCAAAUAUGUAAACCUCUCCUAAACGCAGAGACAGUCCCGUACCUGAUUUGUCCCUGGCUACAGAGGAGCUAAUUAUAAGGUGGAUAAAAGUCCCCAUGGGCAGUGUGAGAAACGCUUCCCCAGCAGAAACAGCUCAGCCCCAGAAAGCUCUCGACGCUGCGCGUGGCGGCUGCGUUGUGAAGAGCCCGGCCUUCGCGGAGGACCUCGGGCGCUCCUCACGGUGACAGCACCGCUCCCCGGUGCUCCACAGCUCCCGUCUGAGUCUGCGCGAACCGGGCCGAGAACAGCCGGGCCUGCGCCUGGGCGCGUGGUGUCUACACCUACGAGGGCCUCAAUAAAUAUUUAGUGAAAAGAAGGAAGCAAAUAAUCACGAAACACUAGCUCUAGCUGAACAGAAUUAAGAGGUUAAAUCCUGUAAAAAGAAAAUAAAAUCAAAUAAUGUAUCCUCCCCAGCCAAGACGAUCUCGGUCUCUGUUUUUCCGAGACAGGGUCUUGCUACGUAG